rnacentral:rRNA from 1 species
UCUGGUUAUAAUAGCAGAGAGGAUACACCUGUUCCCAUUCCGAACACAGAAGUUAAGCUCUCUAGCGCUGAUGGUACUUGGUGGG